rnacentral:rRNA from 1 species
GCUGGAGUUGCUAGUAAUCGCGAAUCAGCAUGUCGCGGUGAAUACGUUCCCGGGUCUUGUACACACCGCCCGUCACACCAUGGGAGCCGGAAAUGCCCGAAGUCUGUGACCCAACCUACGGGAGGGAGCAGCCGAAGGCAGGUCGGAUGACUGGGGUGAAGUCGUAACAAGGUACC